rnacentral:rRNA from 1 species
GAUGAACGCUGGCGGCGUGCCUAAUACAUGCAAGUCGAGCGAACAGACGAGGAGCUUGCUCCUCUGACGUUAGCGGCGGACGGGUGAGUAACACGUGGAUAACCUACCUAUAAGACUGGGAUAACUUCGGGAAACCGGAGCUAAUACCGGAUAAUAUAUUGAACCGCAUGGUUCAAUAGUGAAAGACGGUUUUGCUGUCACUUAUAGAUGGAUCCGCGCCGCAUUAGCUAGUUGGUAAGGUAACGGCUUACCAAGGCCACGAUGCGUAGCCGACCUGAGAGGGUGAUCGGCCACACUGGAACUGAGACACGGUCCAGACUCCUACGGGAGGCAGCAGUAGGGAAUCUUCCACAAUGGGCGAAAGCUUGACGGAGCAACGCCGCGUGAAUGAUGAAGGUCUUCGGAUCGUAAAACUCUGUUAUUAGGGAAGAACAAAUGUGUAAGUAACUAUGCACGUCUUGACGGUACCUAAUCAGAAAGCCACGGCUAACUACGUG